CCUACGGGUGGCAGCAGUGAGGAAUAUUGGUCAAUGGGCGAGAGCCUGAACCAGCCACGUAGCGUGAAGGAUGACUGCCCUACGGGUGGUAAACUUCUUUUAUAAAGGAAUAAAGUGAGGCACGUGUGCCUUUUUGUCUGUACUUUAUGAAUAAGGAUCGGCUAACUCCGUGCCAGCAGCCGCGGUAAUACGGAGGAUCCGAGCGUUAUCCGGAUUUAUUGGGGUUAAAGGGAGCGUAGAUGGGUUGUUAAGACAGUUGUGAAAGUUUGCAGCUCAACCGUAAAAUUGCAAUUGAGACUAGCAGUCUUGAGUGCGGUAGAGGUAGGUGGAAUUCGUGGUGUAGCGGUGAAAUGCUUAGAUAUCACGAAGAACUCCGAUUGCGAAGGCAGCUUACUAAACUGCCACUGACAUUGAUGCUCGAAAGUGUGGGUAUCAAACAGGAUUAGAUACCCUUGUAGUC
rnacentral:rRNA from 1 species